AUGUGCUACAACCUCCGCGCGGCCGCGGCCGCCACCACCUCGCCCGCGCCGGAGCCGGAGCCCGAGCCCGAGCCGGAGCUGCCGCUCUUCCGCCCGCCCGGCCGGCCUUCGGCUCCCAGCGCGCUGUCUCCGCCGCCGCCCCGCUCUCGCCCGGCGCUUGACGCAGUGAGCGCCGCAGCCGGGCCCCCGCCAGCUCCGCUCCUCUUCCCGUCGCAGGCCGAGCCCAGCCGGGCGGGCUCCGGGAGGGGCGGGCAGGGCGCGAGGGGGAGGAGAACUGUCUGGAGCCAGCGAGGCCGGAGGAGGAAGAGCAGGAGGAAGGAGGGGAAGCCGCCGCUGCCGCCGCCGCCGCGCUCCGGGGACCUGGGCGCGCGCGCUCCGCUCGCCCGUGACCGUGCCUCUAGCCCCAGGCCCACAUUCCUGCCCAGCAGGACCGGCUGGAGCUGGCGCACACCGAGGCCGAUGGGGAGGGAGGCCGCGGUCCCGGCAGGACGCAGGUGGACGGCGAGAGGCCGCUGGCUGUGAGCGAGGCGCUCCCGCAGCCCCCGCACGGUGCGGCCAUGCGGUUUGGGACAGGACACCCCUGAGAGCGCCGACGCCCCCUCCUCCCGCCCCUCUGUCCCUUCAGGGGCUGCUGCCGCCCAGCGCCCCCCCCUGCCCCCGACCCCGUCCCCCCGGGCAGGCUGAGCGGGGG
rnacentral:lncRNA from 9 species